AGCUGAUGAUGUGCAUUAAUAAGAGUAGUGGACAGAAGUGAUUUCUGAAAAUUUACUUUUCUGAGGCU